rnacentral:ncRNA from 1 species
CGGGGAAGAAGCGAUGCAGCAAAGCCGACGGAGCCUACGAACAGAAAUCGGAUAUAAGGCGAAACGGUGGGUAAGGGUGCAAGACAACCUGAAGCCCGAAUGGUAAACGUACACCGAGACAGUAAAUCCGGAGGUUGUGCGGUGAAAGAAC